UACGUAGGGGGCGAGCGUUGUCCGGAUUUAUUGGGCGUAAAGAGCGUGUAGGCGGCCAGGUAGGUCUGCUGUGAAAACUCGAGGCUCAACCUCGAGACGUCGGCGGAAACCAUCUGGCUAGAGUCCGGAAGAGGAGAGUGGAAUUCCUGGUGUAGCGGUGAAAUGCGUAGAUAUCGAGAGGAACACCUGCGGCGAAGGCGGGUUGCUGGGCUGACACUGACGCUGAUGCGCGAAAGCCAGGGGAGCGAACGGG
rnacentral:rRNA from 1 species